UGCUUCAUUCUUUCUUACUUCUUCCCGUUCCACAACUCCAAGCCCAUACACAAGGGUAAAACCGACCAAUUCCCUAAACCAAGGCCCAGAUAAGUAACCAAAGCCCAAGCCCAACACCGAAAGCCCAAAAUCCAGGCCCAUUUCUACAAGAGGAAGAAAACCAAACUCUAACAUCAUCCACGACUGGGCCACACAGAGAACUCAUAUCGUCAGUCCUUGUAUUGUAAUAAACACUGUAGAAAGCAAUCCUCG
rnacentral:lncRNA from 1 species